CAAUAGCGUAUAUUAAAGCUGUUGCGGUUAAAAAGCUCGUAGUUGGAUUUCUGUCAAGGACAACUGGUCCGCCCUCCAGGUGAGCACAUAGUUUGGUCUUGACAUCUUGCUGGAAGCUGUUGCUGCACUUGGCUGUGUGGCGCAGUGUUCAGCACUUUCACUUUGAGGAAAUUGGAGUGUUUCAAGCAGGCACAUGCCUUUGGACACAGUAGCAUGGAAUAAUUAGAUUGGGCUUUUGCUCCAAUUUGUCGGUUUCUGGAGCUGAGGUGAGUAUUAAUGGGGAUUGUUGGGGGCAUCCGAAUUUAGCCGUCAGAGGUGAAAUUCUUGGAUCUGCUAAAGACGGACAACUGCGAAAGCGUUUGCCCAGGAUGUUUUCAUUGA
rnacentral:rRNA from 1 species